rnacentral:lncRNA from 1 species
CUCCAUGUGUGGAGGUACUGGCUCCACCACUAUCACUAGCAGGUCUACUGGACUGAGUGGAUACAUCUCCACCACUAUCACUAGCAGGCCUACUGGACUGAGUGGAUACAUCUCCACGUGUGGAGGUACUGGCUCCACCACUAUCACUAGCAGGUCUACUGGACUGAGUGGAUACAUCUCCACCACUAUCACUAGCAGGUCUACUGGACUGAGUGGAUACAUCUCCAUGUGUGGAGGUACUGGCUCCACCACUAUCACUAGCAGGUCUACCUGACUGAGUGGAUACAUCUCCACCACUAUCACUAGCAGGCCUACUGGACUGAGUGGGUACUGGCUCCACCACUAUCACUAGCAGGUCUACUGGACUGACUGGACACAUCUCCACCACUAUCACUAGCAGGUCUACUGGACUGAGUGGAUACAUCCCCACCACUAUCACUAGCAGGUCUACUGGACUGAGUGGUUACAUCCCCACCACUAUCACUAGCAGGUCUACUGGACUGAGUGGAUACAUCUCCACCACUAUCACUAGCAGGUCUACUGGACUGAGUGGAUACAUCUCCACCACUAUCACUAGCAGGUCUACUGGACUGAGUGGAUACAUCUCCACCACUAUCACUAGCAGGUCUACUGGACUGAGUGGAUACAUCUCCACCACUAUCACUACCAGGUCUACUGGACUGAGUGGAUACAUCUCCACCACUAUCACUAGCAGGCCUACUGGACUGAGUGGAUACAUCUCCAUGUGUGGAGGUACUGGCUCCACCACUAUCACUAGCAGGUCUACUGGACUGAGUGGAUACAUCUCCACCACUAUCACUAGCAGGUCUACUGGACUGAGUGGAUACAUCCCCACCACUAUCACUAGCAG